GUAGGUGGCAAGCGUUGUCCGGAAUUAUUGGGCGUAAAGCGCGCGCAGGCGGUCCUUUAAGUCUGAUGUGAAAGCCCACGGCUCAACCGUGGAGGGUCAUUGGAAACUGGGGGACUUGAGUACCGAAGAGGAAAGCGGAAUUCCAAGUGUAGCGGUGAAAUGCGUAGAGAUUUGGAGGAACACCAGUGGCGAAGGCGGCUUUCUGGUCUGUAACUGACGCUGAGGCGCGAAAGCGUGGGGAGCAAACAGGAUUAGAUACCCUGGUAGUCCACGCCGUAAACGAUGAGUGCUAAGUGUUAGGGGGUUUCCCGCCCCCCUUAGUGCUGCAGCUAACGCAUUAAGCACUCCGCCUGGGGGAGUACGGCCGCAAGGCUG
rnacentral:rRNA from 1 species